GUCGAGCGAGCGGAACUACAGGUUCACUUCGGUAAUGACGUUAGGAAAGCGAGCGGCGGAUGGGUGAGUAACACGUGGGGAAUCUGCCCCAUAGUCUGGGAUACCACUUGGAAACAGGUGCUAAUACCGGAUAAGAAAGCAGAUCGCAUGAUCAGCUUUUAAAAGGCGGCGUAAGCCAUCGCUAUGGGAUGGCCCCGCGGUGCAUUAGCUAGUUGGUAAGGUAAAGGCUUACCAAGGCGAUGAUGCAUAGCCGAGUUGAGAGACUGAUCGGCCACAUUGGGACUGAGACACGGCCCAAACUCCUACGGGAGGCAGCAGUAGGGAAUCUUCCACAAUGGACGCAAGUCUGAUGGAGCAACGCCGCGUGAGUGAAGAAGGUUUUCGGAUCGUAAAGCUCUGUUGUUGGUGAAGAAGGAUAGAGGUAGUAACUGGCCUUUAUUUGACGGUAAUCAACCAGAAAGUCACGGCUAACUACGUGCCAGCAGCCGCGGUAAUACGUAGGUGGCAAGCGUUGUCCGGAUUUAUUGGGCGUAAAGCGAGCGCAGGCGGAAGAAUAAGUCUGAUGUGAAAGCCCUCGGCUUAACCGAGGAACUGCAUCGGAAACUGUUUUUCUUGAGUGCAGAAGAGGAGAGUGGAACUCCAUGUGUAGCGGUGGAAUGCGUAGAUAUAUGGAAGAACACCAGUGGCGAAGGCGGCUCUCUGGUCUGCAACUGACGCUGAGGCUCGAAAGCAUGGGUAGCGAACAGGAUUAGAUACCCUGGUAGUCCAUGCCGUANACGAUGAGUGCUAAGUGUUGGGAGGUUUCCGCCUCUCAGUGCUGCAGCUAACGCAUUA
rnacentral:rRNA from 1 species